UUUUAGCGGCUGGAAUCCUAAUUCCUAACCCUAAAGCUCACUGCCCCACUCUCAUUUUGCGUUUGUCAUUUUCAUUUUUCAAACUCAGACUCUCAAAUCUCAACAUCUCCGCCUCACCCAAGCUCACAGCCUCUCUUCCUCACCGCUCACAGCCUCUCUGCCUCGCCGCUCAGACCUCGCCCUCUCCGCCUCACUCUCUCGCCAGUCGCCGCUCGCCCUCUCCGCCUCACUGCCUCUGUACCUCGCCCUCUCCGCCUCACACUCUGCCUCACCUUCUCUGCCUCGCCCUCUCCGCCUCACUCUCUCUACCUCGCCUUCUCUGCCGCUCACACUCUCUGCCCUUUGACUCGCCCACCCCGCCUCACUCAAGCUCACACUCUCUAGUCUCUUCCUCUCUGCCUCGCCCUCUCCGCCUCAAACAUUUUUCUUCCUCUCCGCCUCACUCAAGCUCACGGGUUUGAAGUAUUGGGUUUUUUUUUUUCUUUUUGGGUUUUUUCCUUCUCAUCCUUACGGGUUCUCGGUCUCGCCCUCUAAAGUGCUCUGCUCUCUGCUUCUCGGCUUCAUCAGUCCUACAUUUUUUGUGGUUGGGGUUGGAUGGUAACUUGGGUGGAUUUGAAGCAAAGCAGGGAGAAUGAUAAGCCAAGUUACCAUUUUGUAUAAAUUGUUGAGUUUGUUGAAUAGAAUAUGAAUGUGUAUCUAUUGAAUAGAAUAGAAUAUGAAUGUGUAUCUAUUGAAUAGAAUAGAAUAUGAAUGAUAAUCCAAGUCACCAUUUUGUACAAA